rnacentral:rRNA from 1 species
GAUGAACGCUAGCGGCAGGCUUAAUACAUGCAAGUCGAGGGGGCAGCAUGACCGUAGCAAUACGGUUGAUGGCGACCGGCAAACGGGUGCGGAACACGUACACAACCUUCCUUCGAGCGGGGAAUAGCCCGGGGAAACCCGGAUUAAUACCCCAUAGUAUAUUGAAGAGGCAUCUCUUUACUAUUAAAGAUUUAUCACUUGAAGAUGGGUGGUGCGGCUGAUUAGCUAGUGGCGGGGUAACGGGCCCACCAAGGCAACGAUCAGUAACUGGUGUGAGAGCACGACCAGUCACACGGGCACUGAGACACGGGCCC